AAGGAGUCUAACAUGCUUGCGAGUAUUUGGGUGUCAAACCCGGAUGCGUAAUGAAAGCGAAUGGAGGUGGGAAGCGUAAGCUGCACCAUCGACCGAUCUGGAUUUUCUAAGAUGGAUUUGAGUAAGAGCACGUAUGUUGGGACCCGAAAGAUGGUGAGCUAUGCCUGAAUAGGGCGAAGCCAGAGGAAACUCUGGUGGAGGCUCGUAGCGGUUCUGACGUGCAAAUCGAUCGUCAAAUUUGGGUAUAGGGGCGAAAGACUAAUCGAACCAUCUAGUAGCUGGUUCCUGC
rnacentral:misc_RNA from 1 species